AGAAAGAACUGGACAUAAAAUAGGGCUGCUAACUUUGUUUUGGGUGGUUCGAUUCCAUCCUUUUUCUU
rnacentral:tRNA from 1 species